AUAUGUGAAUUCAUGUCAGCCUUUGGCACCUGAUCAUUAGUACCAGCACUUAGCAUAAAGCAAAAAUAUUUGGCAGUUUGAAAAUUGUGUUCACAUGUAAUUACUGUGCUGACAUUCACACAUUCAACAAGAGGAGCAAAGAACUGCAUGGUAAUUUCUGAUAAAAAGGCAACUCCACCAGCCCCUUCUUUACACUACUGUGACAACACAGGAAGACAAAGUUCUUCUCUGGCCAUCUCAAAGACUGCUGGAGUAGAACUGAAGCAAAAAACUCAGUCACUGUCUUCUACUGACACUUCAUUUUGAGCCAGAAUGCAAUUCACUCCCUUACAAAAAAUGCUAGAGUGGGUACCUCUUCAAACUCUUGAAUAGUGAACAAAACCUAAAAAAAAUCUAUAUGAACCUAAAUGGCUUGUCAGGCUAGCACAGCACUCAUGUUUCUGUAACCCCAACAGGACACAUACAAUCCUGUGCAGGCCCUCCCUACCAGAGUGCAGGGCAAACUACCCAGCUGCAGCUGAGUUCACCUGGGACAAGUGAGGUUGUGGGUGAAAUAGAGAGAAAAAAAUGCAAGAAAAGAAAUCCAGAUUCAGCAGAAAUAAUGCAGUUUUAAUGGACCAUGGAAUAUCAGACACCCAGCAAGAAGAUGACCUUUUCUCCAGUACUGAAAUAACAAAGCAAUAGAACACAAAUGCUG